rnacentral:tRNA from 1 species
GGGCGAGUAGCUCAGCUGGUAGAGCAGAUCCCUCUUAAGGAUAAGGUCGCGGGUUCGAUCCCCGCCUCGCCCACCA